GCGAAAGUGGCGGAAUUGGUAGACGCGCUGGAUUUAGGUUCCAGUCCUGCAAGGGGUGGGAGUUCGAUUCUCCCCUUUCGCACCA
rnacentral:tRNA from 1 species